ensembl:lncRNA
CCUCACUUCAUGCUCUUCCAGUCCUGUCAGGGAGUGUACACCUGUCAGAGGAAGUGAGCUCAAUGAAUGGUGUGACUGUGGAGAAUGUUACAGACUCUGAACUGGUGAUAUGCCCCCACUAGAAACAAAAAGCAGUACCAAAUGACAGUUAUUACAAAAAGAAAACCAAACUGUGGAGCAGAUGCUCACCUUCAGCAGCCCGCUCUGCCCCUCAGGGAUCUGUGGGACACGGGGCCACAGCUGCCGCUCAUCUCCCUUCCAGCAAAAGGACUCUAAUUCAUGGAGGAAAAAUUUAAGUUAGUUCUCUCCUGGUGCAGAAACAGCC